GGAAGUAGCCCCUUGAGACUAUUUGUACUUUUUUUUUUUCAAACAGUGGGGCUCCAGAGCCUGUACAUGUUGCUGGGUGUGCAGUAAACACACAGAAAACAGUAUAUGCCCACCCUGCUCGUGAGGAGGGAGUUGCUGAGUCUACACUCUGUGCCAUCUACCAUGCAAUUCACCACAGUAAUUUCGAAUAGCUUCUUGGGUCUUGCAUCAUUUGUGAAAGUGAAGCAAACCUUCCUCUACUGUACAGAGUGUCCAGAAAUAGAGCUCAUCAGAGUAACCCAGUUGACAUAAUGAGACUGCAAGCACACCAAGGGGAGUUUCUGGACAGCUAGAGGACAUCUGAGGAGCACGGCUAAGCCUCAAACCCUCCUUAGGACUACUGUGAACCCCUAUACUUCUGCAGCUACAGUUCCCAAAUUUCUGGGCUCCAUCCCAACAAAAUGUCUAGAAAAAUUUGCUCUAUUUUUGAUCCUCGUUUUUUUUUUGUUUUGUUUUUUUUUUUUUUUCCUCAUUUCAGAACAGUGAUGGCUUUUCCAGGUAAAGCAUCUUGUUACCUUAUAAGUUUCAUUAAAUAGAUGGCCUUUGAACUAGACCUUGCAGAAUGGGUAAAAUUUAUUUUGGAAAAGAAGUGAAAGAGGGCUAUCAGAGAGUGUUUUCAUGAAUGUAUAAGCCUGGAAUCUGGAUGUCUUUGAUAAGGAGCGAUAAAAGGGUACAUUUGGGUGUGGAUUAAUUCACUUACUCAGUAUAUACAUAUAUAUAGAAACCACAAUUUGAUACAGGAAAUAUAGCAAAGGAUUAGACCUGGUCCAGCUCUCAUGAUGUUCAGAGACAGUGAUGGUUCCGGGGGCAGAGAGACGCAGUGGACAUCAAGAGGUGGGCUAAUUCAUUAUUUGAAGAAUCUUCAAUGACACACAAAGGAGUUUGAAUUUUAUCCCAUCACUACUUAUAACAGCACUUUUUUUGACACUAAUCACAUGCUGGGCAGUAUUCACUAUUUAUUAUUGUAACAACCUUAUGGUAUAGAGAGAUAUUUUACUGACAGGGAGACUGAAGCAUGGAGUAGGUACCUAACUUGGCUAAGGACUCAGAGCUAAUAAGAGGUAGAGUCAGGAUUGAGUCCAGGUAUUUUGGCUUCAGAGUCUAUAGUCUUAUCAUUUGUAAAUAUAUAAUAUGUGGCUAAAGCGAAGCUUUUUUAUAUGAAAAAAGUAAAACAAGGUUAAUGAUGUUGGGAAAAAUCAUUGGAAGAUGCAGCAGUGUGUAUCAGAGCCUGGACUAGACUCCACAAGGCUUUAGGUCCAUUGCUGCUUCUGCUCCACAUAGAGUGUGCACUAGUGUGCAAAAACUUUGUGGAUGCACUUGGAUAAAUUAAGAGAAAUAUGUUUACACUACAAGAGGUGGUAAUGCUGCAGUCCUCUUUUUUUUUUUUUUUUUUUUUCCUUUCUGCUUUUUAGGACCAAACCCAUGGCAUAUGGAAGUUUUCAGGCUAGGGAUUGAGUCGGAGCUGUAGAUGCCAGCGUACGCCACACCCAUCACCAGAUCCGAGCCAUGUGUUUGACCUACACCACAGCUCACAACAAUGCCAGAUCCUUAACCCACUGAGCAGAGCCAGGUUCAAAACUUGGAUUCAUUUCUGCAGUGCCACAAGGCUUGCUGCAUUCUUUUGUGCUGGUGAGACUAAUAGUGAGCAGUGAGAGGGUUCAGUUGUGUCUGUCUUCCUCUCCGAAUACAUCAGCUGGGGCCCAAAGUUAACAUAUCCAAAGGUAGAAAUGGUUUGUUUUUGUUGUUCCAAGCAAGGUCAAACUUGCAGAAAGGUGCGUUUGGUUGGGUGAGGAUGACCCAGCUAUCUCGAUGUCCUUUUACUAAUCACGGCAUACGAGGUGGUAGAGUCACAAAAUACCUCAUCGUCAGCUGCCUUAGAGACUAGCUUGACCUCCCCCAGGACUCGAUCUACUGUGAAAUGCAUUCAGGCACAGGGAAUAUCAGUGCAAAAACCCCAGGAUUUAUUCCUCACUAAAAGGUGGCUUGGAGGGAUGUCACACGUAGAAAGUGGACUGAUUCAUUUCCACUCCCAGCAUUGUUUCAAUCGAGCUUGGCACAAAGAUGAUCAAUGCUGACUCAGAGCUAUGUCCAGAUGGAGAGAGAGCCUUCUAAACUAUCACAUCCAACCCAGUCCUGGUCUACCACUCCCCCUCGAGUCUCUAGAAUCCUCACUGUCCUAUCUAUAGGGUGCACCCAUUCCAGAGGAUAAGACUCCACUCAUAUUUGGUCCUUUGCCUUCCCAGCAGGACCCCAAAACCCCCUCACCCUUUCGUCUAUGCAGACUGGCACAGAAGAAAUGAUUCUGAAAAAUAAACUAGCUAAUCAUUAGAUGAAAGCA
rnacentral:lncRNA from 1 species